rnacentral:rRNA from 1 species
AUUGAACGCUGGCGGCAGGCCUAACACAUGCAAGUCGAACGGUAGCACAGAGAGCUUGCUCUCGGGUGACGAGUGGCGGACGGGUGAGUAAUGUCUGGGAAACUGCCCGAUGGAGGGGGAUAACUACUGGAAACGGUAGCUAAUACUGCAUAACGUCGCAAGACCAAAGUGGGGGACCUUCGGGCCUCACACCAUCGGAUGUGCCCAGAUGGGAUUAGCUAGUAGGUGGGGUAAUGGCUCACCUAGGCGACGAUCCCUAGCUGGUCUGAGAGGAUGACCAGCCACACUGGAACUGAGACACGGUCCAGACUCCUACGGGAGGCAGCAGUGGGGAAUAUUGCACAAUGGGCGCAAGCCUAAUGCAGCCAUGCCGCGUGUAUGAAGAAGGCCUUCGGGUUGUAAAGUACUUUCAGCGGGGAGGAAGGCGGUGAAGUUAAUAGCUUCACCGAUUGACGUUACCCGCAGAAGAAGCACCGGCUAACUCCGUGCCAGCAGCCGCAGUAA